rnacentral:rRNA from 1 species
UGGGGAAUAUUGGACAAUGGGGGGAACCCUGAUCCAGCGACGCCGCGUGAGUGAAGAAGUAUUUCGGGAUGUAAAGCUCUAUCAGCAGGGAAGAAAAUGACGGUACCUGACUAAGAAGCCCCGGCUAACUACGUGCCAGCAGCCGCGGUAAUACGUAGGGGGCAAGCGUUAUCCGGAUUUACUGGGUGUAAAGGGAGCGCAGACGGUUUUGCAAGUCUGAAGUGAAAGCCCGAGGCUUAACCUCGGAGUUGCUUUGGAAACUGUAUAACUAGAGUAUCGGAGAGGUAAGUGGAAUUCCUAGUGUAGCGGUGAAAUGCGUAGAUAUUAGGAGGAACACCGGUGGCGAAGGCGGCUUACUGGACGAAAACUGACGUUGAGGCUCGAAGGCGUGGGGAGCAAACAGG